rnacentral:rRNA from 1 species
UGCAAGUCGAACGAUGACUCUCUAGCUUGCUAGAGAUGAUUAGUGGCGGACGGGUGAGUAACAUUUAGGAAUCUACCUAGUAGUGGGGGAUAGCUCGGGGAAACUCGAAUUAAUACCGCAUACGACCUACGGGUGAAAGGGGGCGCAAGCUCUUGCUAUUAGAUGAGCCUAAAUCAGAUUAGCUAGUUGGUGGGGUAAAGGCCCACCAAGGCGACGAUCUGUAACUGGUCUGAGAGGAUGAUCAGUCACACCGGAACUGAGACACGGUCCGGACUCCUACGGGAGGCAGCAGUGGGGAAUAUUGGACAAUGGGGGCAACCCUGAUCCAGCCAUGCCGCGUGUGUGAAGAAGGCCUUUUGGUUGUAAAGCACUUUAAGCAGGGAGGAGAGGCUAAUGGUUAAUACCCAUUAGAUUAGACGUUACCUGCAGAAUAAGCACCGGCUAACUCUGUGCCAGCAGCCGCGGUAAUACAGAGGGUGCGAGCGUUAAUCGGAAUUACUGGGCGUAAAGCGAGUGUAGGUGGCUCAUUAAGUCACAUGUGAAAUCCCCGGGCUUAACCUGGGAACUGCAUGUGAUACUGGUGGUGCUAGAAUAUGUGAGAGGGAAGUAGAAUUCCAGGUGUAGCGGUGAAAUGCGUAGAGAUCUGGAGGAAUACCGAUGGCGAAGGCAGCUUCCUGGCAUGAUAUUGACACUGAGAUUCGAAAGCGUGGGUAGCAAACAGGAUUAGAUACCCUGGUAGUCCACGCCGUAAACGAUGUCUACUAGCCGUUGGGGUCCUUGAGACUUUAGUGGCGCAGUUAACGCGAUAAGUAGACCGCCUGGGGAGUACGGCCGCAAGGUUAAAACUCAA